ACUCCCACAUAUGCAGCAUGUAUUGUUGAGACGAUAGCAAGGUUGGUCCCGAAGAUCCUUGCCAUAGUGCUGGCAAGUCCUACUGUGCCCUAUUAUCGGAGCUUGAGGAGAACCGUGAGUCAUUGGUAUAGGCCUCUUAUUCUGUUGAACCGGUGCAAUGGGUACUAGUCUGCAGUGUGAAACCGGAAGUCUGGGAUUCCCCAAUACUGGAGAAAAGAUGCAAAGGUUUCUCUCCACUGGUUGUGCUUUAGCCAGAACGGCUGAGCAGGUGCUGAGCUCAAAUACAUACAACUGAUGUAUGAUCUCAGGAUGGAGGUCUUACUCGAAUUUUCUUGCCUUUCUGGCUUCAUCCAUCAUGUUCUUAGGGAAUACUGGCCUAACU
rnacentral:lncRNA from 1 species